AACGAACGCUGGCGGCGCGCUUAACACAUGCAAGUCGAACGGGCGUGAUGGCUUCGGCCAUGACGUCAGUGGCGGACGGGUGAGUAGCGCGUGGGAACCUGCCCCAAGGUCUGGGACAACCGCGGGAAACUGCGGCUAAUACCGGAUGACGCCGCCCGCGAGGGUGGCCAAAGACUCAUCGUGAGAUGGGGACGCCAUGGGAUGGGCCCGCGUCCGAUUAGCUAGUUGGUGGGGAAUGGCCACCAAGGCUGCGAUCGGUAGCUGGUCUGAGAGGACGAUCAGCCACACUGGGACUGAGACACGGCCCAGACUCCUACGGGAGGCAGCAGUGGGGAAUCUUGGACAAUGGGCGCAAGCCUGAUCCAGCGACGCCGCGUGGGUGACGAAGGCC
rnacentral:rRNA from 1 species